AACGAACGCUGGCGGCAGGCCUAACACAUGCAAGUCGAGCGCCCUUUCGGGGGAGCGGCGGACGGGUGAGUAACGCGUGGGAAUAUGCCCUUCUCUACGGAAUAGCCUCGGGAAACUGAGAGUAAUACCGUAUACGCCCUGUGGGGGAAAGAUUUAUCGGGGAAGGAUUAGCCCGCGUUGGAUUAGGUAGUUGGUGGGGUAAUGGCCUACCAAGCCGACGAUCCAUAGCUGGUUUGAGAGGAUGAUCAGCCACACUGGGACUGAGACACGGCCCAGACUCCUACGGGAGGCAGCAGUGGGGAAUAUUAGACAAUGGGGGCAACCCUGAUCUAGCCAUGCCGCGUGAGUGAUGAAGGCCUUAGGGUUGUAAAGCUCUUUCAGCUGGGAAGAUAAUGACGGUACCAGCAGAAGAAGCCCCGGCUAACUCCGUG
rnacentral:rRNA from 1 species